AGAGUUUGAUCAUGGCUCAGGAUGAACGCUAGCUACAGGCUUAACACAUGCAAGUCGAGGGGAAACGACAUCGAAAGCUUGCUUUUGAUGGGCGUCGACCGGCGCACGGGUGAGUAACGCGUAUCCAACCUGCCCACCACUUGGGGAUAACCUUGCGAAAGUAAGACUAAUACCCAAUGACGUCUCUAGAAGACAUCUGAAAGAGAUUAAAGAUUUAUCGGUGAUGGAUGGGGAUGCGUCUGAUUAGCUUGUUGGCGGGGUAACGGCCCACAAGGCGACGAUCAGUAGGGGUUCUGAGGAGGAAGGUCCCCCANAUUGGAACUGAGACACGGUCCAAACUCCUACGGGAGGCA
rnacentral:rRNA from 1 species